AAUCCGUGCAAGGGACAUUUGCGUAAAAGCUCCCUAUAUCGCUCCCAAGCCUCAUACAUGGAUUCAUCAUCUGUUUGUUGAAAAGAAGUAAUAUCAUCACACAAUUU